UUGGUUAUGAUAUUUGACUUUUAAUUAUGUACAUUCCAUUUCCAUCUUCUUCUUCUUCUUUUUCUUUUUGACCAAUGAGUCAAUGAUUGGUGGUUAGCCUUGACAUAGAAGAGGCUUAACCUUCUUUGAUCUAAAUCAAAUUCAUCUUGAUCAAAGUUCAAGUGAAUUGCUUUGCAUUAAAGAUAGGUUGCUUCUUGGUCAAGCAAAAAACCUAAAUCCAUACAAGGUCAUUC
rnacentral:lncRNA from 1 species